rnacentral:tRNA from 1 species
GGCUACAUGGUCUAGUAGUAUGAUACUCCCUUCGGGUGGGAGUGGUCCCGGGUUCAAUUCCCGGUGUGGCCC